UUAGACGCGGCCGAUGCGGGUCAAAGUGUAUUAUCUCUUCUGAUCAGGGUAAUAUCAGAUACGGGUUGUAUCUGGACCUAACGUAUUAAACUUAGUUUUGCAAGUAGGCUGAGUGCUUGAAGCCUGCUUCACCUCCGCCGCCGGUCGGCCCGGUAUUGCACUAUCUUCGGUAUCGCGCCACGUAUG